rnacentral:misc_RNA from 1 species
GUAGGUGAACCUGCGGAAGGAUCAUUAACGAGACCCUGCCCCUUGCGGGCAGAUCUCCCACCCUUUGUGAACCGAACCUCUGUUGCUUUGGCAGGCCCGUCCUCCGACCGCCGGCCCCGGCCGGCCAGCGCCUGCCAGAGGAUCCAAAACUCAGCGUCAUGUUGUGUCUGAUCAUAUACGAAAUUGUUAAAACUUUCAACAACGGAUCUCUUGGUUCUCGCAUCGAUGAAGAACGCAGCAUCUGACUGAC